GACGAACGCUGGCGGCGUGCUUAACACAUGCAAGUCGAACGGAAAGGCCCUGCUUUUGUGGGGUGCUCGAGUGGCGAACGGGUGAGUAACACGUGAGUAACCUGCCCUUGACUUUGGGAUAACUCCAGGAAACUGGGGCUAAUACCGGAUAGGAGCUCCUGCUGCAUGGUGGGGGUUGGAAAGUUUCGGCGGUUGGGGAUGGACUCGCGGCUUAUCAGCUUGUUGGUGGGGUAGUGGCUUACCAAGGCUUUGACGGGUAGCCGGCCUGAGAGGGUGACCGGCCACAUUGGGACUGAGGUACGGCCCAGACUCCUACGGGAGGCAGCAGUGGGGAAUAUUGCACAAUGGGCGGAAGCCUGAUGCAGCAACGCCGCGUGCGGGAUGACGGCCUUCGGGUUGUAAACCGCUUUCGCCUGUGACGAAGCGUGAGUGACGGUAAUGGGUAAAGAAGCACCGGCUAACUACGUG
rnacentral:rRNA from 1 species